AUGGGUGCGGAGAGGAUUUUUUUCAAAGAGCUAAACAACAGAGCUCUCGAUUACUUUUGAAUUGGUGUUAUAGGUGACUUAAAAGAAGACAGGAGGGUGAGAAGUCUGUUUUUGCGUUGAUGAUGUGUUGGCUUGGUUGGCCGCACAACAAAGCAGAACCGAAACAUUUUUUGCUCUCUUCCAAAUAUAACUGUAAAUAGAAGUUGUAUGUAUGCAUGAACAUUAGUAAGAAGUAACGUCUCAGCAACAACUAGAAAAUACACACCGCACAACAACAACAACGAAAAAACUUUUUGCAUGUUUUUUCGUUGCUGUUGUGCGGUGUGAAUUUUCUAGUUGUUGCUGAGACGUUACUUCUUACUAAUGUUCAUGCAUACAUACAUACAUGCGUUUUUCGCAUUAACACCGACAUAUAUACAGAGGAGUCAAUUUUUUUGUGUGUUGUUGUAACGUUUUCUUUCUCAAGUAGGCAUUUUUUGGUGCAUGGACAACUUGAGUGUCUCAACUUGAGACACGCGCCAAUGUUACGCUCUUUUGCUCUCACCAAGCAAACACUGCCGAUCGCUGCUGUAACUAUGUGUGGUGUGUGCGCGGCAAGAGGGAUGGAAACUGUUGCUGAGACGUUUAUUUCUUUUCUAUUGUCCAUGCACCAAAAAAUGCCAACAACAACACACAAAGAGCUGUUUGGAUGUUUUUUUGUUGCUGAGACGUUGCUUCUUACUAAUGUUCAUGCAUACAUACAUACAUGCGUUUUUCGCAUACACACCGAUUUGCUUGAUGAGAACAAAAGAGCGUAACAUUUGCGCGUGUCUCAUGUUGGCAUUCUGGUUGUGUUCUUUUUUUAUUCUUUUUAUUUGUUUUGUGCCUUCGCGUCGUGUCACAAGUGUUGUAAUAAAUGUUGAUACCAACUGUUUUGGGGGAAGACAAAUUAUUUGUCGAAGCGCCGGAGCCUUUAAAUCUACAAAGCUUUAUAAAAGCAGCCAAAUUAGAGUUAAAAAUUGAUGCCUCAAGAAAAAUAACAGCCUUAGUGUUUGGUGCAACCAUUAAAGAAGACCAGUUUGAAAAAGUAAUUCAUCAAUAUAUGUCAACACCUACUUUUCAUAUUGAGUUGCAAUUUGGAGACUCCGUUCGAUCAGUGGCAUCAGCAUCGACAGUUAGUGGCACUCUAUCGGAGUGUGAAUCCGUAGGUGGUUUUGGGGAUCUUACCCCAAAAACAAAUGUUAUUUCAACUUUAAAGACUGACAUAGAGUCCAUCAAGUCAAUUCCGGCUGUCAACAAAAUAUGGAGAAUUUUUAUUGCCGAAAAACGCCUGCAAAAUAAAGUUAGGGUGAAUAUUUCGAAGGCCCUUAUUGACGAAUGUCUAAAAGAAGACCCUAACAGAUUGUAAGUAUUUUACUUUAUUGAAAAAAUAGUGAUUGUAAUAAAA